rnacentral:rRNA from 1 species
GAUGAACGCUGGCGGCGUGCCUAAUACAUGCAAGUCGAACGCUUCACUUCGGUGAAGAGUGGCGAACGGGUGAGUAAUACAUAAGUAACCUGGCAUCUACAGGGGGAUAACUGAUGGAAACGUCAGCUAAGACCGCAUAGGUGUAGAGAUCGCAUGAACUCUAUAUGAAAAGUGCUACGGGACUGGUAGAUGAUGGACUUAUGGCGCAUUAGCUGUUGGUAGGGUAACGGCCUACCAAGGCGACGAUGCGUAGCCGACCUGAGAGGGUGACCGGCCACACUGGGACUGAGACACGGCCCAG